rnacentral:lncRNA from 1 species
UGAACGGAACGGAGUUCUUCUACUACUUCAUAGAGUCGGAAGGCAACCCCAGCGAGGACCCUCUGCUCCUCUGGCUCACUGGCGGCCCGAGGUGCUCCGCCUUCUGCGGUCUCGUCUUCGAAGUGGGUGAGUCUCGGUGGAGCUGCAAUGGAUGUUCCCCUUUUUAUCUUACAUUCCUUUCCUGUUCAUCGCAUAGCUUAUACACACUGAAACAAAGGGGAGACAUCCGCGAGAUGGAUUGCUCUUUCAUGGUGAUUUUUGUUGUUCACUCAUCGAUACAACUCCAAAAAUCUGAGCAUCGUUCUAUCGGUGGCCGUGAUUUUGACUUCGACUAGGGACAAAGGGGGACUUGAUAUGAGCCUAAGAUUAAUAAAGAGAGAUCUCAGACGUGCAUCACAAUUUUGUUCUGUUUCCUCAUUGCACCUGCUUGUGGGAAGAAAUAUGUGUGCUAAGUUCCUC